UGGGGGAUAUUGCGCAAUGGGGGCAACCCUGACGCAGCAACGCCGCGUGAAGGAUGAAGGUUUUCGGAUUGUAAACUUCUUUUAUUAAGGACGAAAAAUGACGGUACUUAAUGAAUAAGCUCCGGCUAACUACGUGCCAGCAGCCGCGGUAAUACGUAGGGAGCAAGCGUUGUCCGGAUUUACUGGGUGUAAAGGGUGCGUAGGCGGCUUUGCAAGUCAGAUGUGAAAUCUAUGGGCUCAACCCAUAAACUGCAUUUGAAACUGUAGAGCUUGAGUGAAGUAGAGGCAGGCGGAAUUCCCCGUGUAGCGGUGAAAUGCGUAGAGAUGGGGAGGAACACCAGUGGCGAAGGCGGCCUGCUGGGCUUUAACUGACGCUGAGGCACGAAAGCGUGGGUAGCAAACAGGAUUAGAUACCCUGGUAGUCCACGCUGUAAACGAUGAUUACUAGGUGUGGGGGGUCUGACCCCUUCCGUGCCGGAGUUAACACAAUAAGUAAUCCACCUGGGGAGUACGGCCGCAAGGUUGAAACUCAAAGGAAUUGACGGGGGCCCGCACAAGCAGUGGAGUAUGUGGUUUAAUUCGAAGCAACGCGAAGAACCUUACCAGGUCUUGACAUCCAACUAACGAAGUAGAGAUACAUUAGGUGCCCUUCGGGGAAAGUUGAGACAGGUGGUGCAUGGUUGUCGUCAGCUCGUGUCGUGAGAUGUUGGGUUAAGUCCCGCAACGAGCGCAACCCUUGCUAUUAGUUGCUACGCAAGAGCACUCUAAUGGGACUGCCGUUGACAAAACGGAGGAAGGUGGGGACGACGUCAAAUCAUCAUGCCCCUUAUGACCUGGGCUACACACGUACUACAAUGGAUGUUAACAGAGGGAAGCAAGACAGCGAUGUGGAGCAAACCCCUAAAAACAUUCUCAGUUCAGAUUGCAGGCUGCAACCCGCCUGCAUGAAGAUGGAAUUGCUAGUAAUCGCGGAUCAGCAUGCCGCGGUGAAUACGUUCCC
rnacentral:rRNA from 1 species